CACCGGCACCUCAAGUGGUAGCCACUAUUAUUGGGCCUGAAGCAUCCGUAGCCUGUUCUAUAGGUUUCCGGUUAAAUCCAUACGCUCAACGUAUGGGCUGCCGGAAAUACUGCAGAACUAGGGAGUGGGAGAGGUAGACGGUACUCGAUAGGAAGAGGUAAAAUUCUUUGAUCUAUUGAUGACCACCUGUGGCGAAGGCGGUCUACCAGAACACGUUCGACGGUGAGGGAUGAAAGCUGGGGGAGCAAACCGG
rnacentral:rRNA from 1 species